UACGGGGGGGGCAAGCGUUGUUCGGAAUUACUGGGCGUAAAGGGCUCGUAGGUGGCCAACUAAGUCGGACGUGAAAUCCCUCAGCUUAACUGGGGAACUGCGUCCGAUACUGGAUGGCUUGAGUUUGGGAGAGGGAUGCGGAAUUCCAGGUGUAGCGGUGAAAUGCGUAGAGAUCAUGAGGAAGACCAGUGGCGAAGGCGGGUCUCUGGACAGUUCCUGACACUGAGGCACGAAGGCCAGGGGAGCAAACGGG
rnacentral:rRNA from 1 species